rnacentral:rRNA from 1 species
UGGAGGCAGCAGUGGGGAAUAUUGCGCAAUGGGCGAAAGCCUGACGCAGCAACGCCGCGUGAGUGAUGAAGGCCUUCGGGUCGUAAAGCUCUGUCGAGAGGGAAGAAACUUCGGGGGGACUAAUAUCCCCUCGUUUUGACGGUACCUCCAAAGGAAGCACCGGCUAACUCCGUGCCAGCAGCCGCGGUAAUACGGAGGGUGCAAGCGUUGUUCGGAAUUACUGGGCGUAAAGGGCGUGUAGGCGGACCGAGUAGUCGGGUGUGAAAGCCCUGGGCUCAACCCAGGAAGUGCGCUCGAAACCAUCGGUCUUGAGUUUCGGAGGGGAGCGGGGAAUUCCCAGUGUAGAGGUGAAAUUCGUAGAUAUUGGGAGGAACACCGGUGCCGAAGGGGCCGCUCUGGACGAAUACUGACGCUAAGACGCGAAAGCGUGGGUAGCAAACAGGAUUAGAUACCCCGGU